GGGUAGAGUAAUGCGUGACCAACCUGCCCCAUGCUCCAGAAUAGCUCUUGGAAACGGGUGGUAAUGCUGGAUGCUCCAACUUGACGCAUGUCUUGUUGGAAAGUGUUUAGUGGCAUGGGAUGGGGUCGCGUCCUAUCAGCUUGUAGGCGGGGUAAUGGCCCACCUAGGCUUCGACGGGUAGCCGGCCUGAGAGGGCGGACGGCCACAUUGGGACUGAGAUACGGCCCAGACUCCUACGGGAGGCAGCAGCA
rnacentral:rRNA from 1 species